rnacentral:RNase_P_RNA from 1 species
GGAGUCAAUCGAGUGGUCGCGUCAGUCUAUUGACUGAUGAGGAAAGUCCGAACUCCAAAGGACAGGGUGCUCGCUAACAGCGAGGCGUUGGAAGGCGAUGGCAAGCGCCACAGAAAACAUACCACCUCGGGUUUCUCGAGGAAAGGGUGAGAAAGUGAGGUAAGAGCUCACUGGCAUUCACUGUGAAGUGGAUGAUCGGCAAGCCCCACCCGGAGCAAGACCAAGCAAUCGGGACUCAAUUUUGAGGGAAGCUGUCCGUUUCCUUUGACCGAUGGGUAGGUUGCAGAGCAGCAAUGUCUGCCGUAGAUAGAUGAUCACAUAGAACAGAAUUCGGCUUACGGAUUGACUCCUUGA